UAGGUAGCGCCUCGUGAAUUCAUCUCCGGGGGUAGAGCACUGUUUCGGCUAGGGGGCCAUCCCGGCUUACCAACCCGAUGCAAACUGCGAAUACCGGAGAAUGUUAUCACGGGAGACACACGGCGGGUGCUAACGUCCGUCGUGAAGAGGGAAACAACCCAGACCGCCAGCUAAGGUCCCAAAGUCAUGGUUAAGUGGGAAACGAUGUGGGAAGGCCCAGACAGCCAGGAUGUUGGCUUAGAAGCAGCCAUCAUUUAAAGAAAGCGUAAUAGCUCACUGGUCGAGUCGGCCUGCGCGGAAGAUGUAACGGGGCUAAACCAUGCACCGAAGCUGCGGCAGCGACGCUGAUGCGUUGUUGGGUAGGGGAGCGUUCUGUAAGCCUGCGAAGGUGGCCUGUGAGGGUUGCUGGAGGUAUCAGAAGUGCGAAUGCUGACAUAAGUAACGAUAAAGCGGGUGAAAAGCCCGCUCGCCGGAAGACCAAGGGUUCCUGUCCAACGUUAAUCGGGGCAGGGUGAGUCGACCCCUAAGGCGAGGCCGAAAGGCGUAGUCGAUGGGAAACGGGUUAAUAUUCCCGUACUUGGUGUUACUGCGAAGGGGGGACGGAGAAGGCUAUGUUGGCCGGGCGACGGUUGUCCCGGUUUAAGCGUGUAGGUGUGUGUUCCAGGUAAAUCCGGUUCACUUUAACACUGAGGCGUGAUGACGAGGCACUACGGUGCUGAAGCAACAAAUGCCCUGCUUCCAGGAAAAGCCUCUAAGCAUCAGGUAACAUCAAAUCGUACCCCAAACCGACACAGGUGGUCAGGUAGAGAAUACCAAGGCGCUUGAGAGAACUCGGGUGAAGGAACUAGGCAAAAUGGUGCCGUAACUUCGGGAGAAGGCACGCUGACACGUAGGUGAAGUGAUUUACUCAUGGAGCUGAAGUCAGUCGAAGAUACCAGCUGGCUGCAACUGUUUAUUAAAAACACAGCACUGUGCAAACACGAAAGUGGACGUAUACGGUGUGACGCCUGCCCGGUGCCGGAAGGUUAAUUGAUGGGGUCAGCGCAAGCGAAGCUCCUGAUCGAAGCCCCGGUAAACGGCGGCCGUAACUAUAACGGUCCUAAGGUAGCGAAAUUCCUUGUCGGGUAAGUUCCGACCUGCACGAAUGGCGUAAUGAUGGCCAGGCUGUCUCCACCCGAGACUCAGUGAAAUUGAACUCGCUGUGAAGAUGCAGUGUACCCGCGGCAAGACGGAAAGACCCCGUGAACCUUUACUAUAGCUUGACACUGAACAUUGAGCCUUGAUGUGUAGGAUAGGUGGGAGGCUUUGAAGUGUGGACGCCAGUCUGCAUGGAGCCGGCCUUGAAAUACCACCCUUUAAUGUUUGAUGUUCUAACGUGGACCCGUGAUCCGGGUUGCGGACAGUGUCUGGUGGGUAGUUUGACUGGGGCGGUCUCCUCCUAAAGAGUAACGGAGGAGCACGAAGGUUGGCUAAUCCUGGUCGGACAUCAGGAGGUUAGUGCAAUGGCAUAAGCCAGCUUGACUGCGAGCGUGACGGCGCGAGCAGGUGCGAAAGCAGGUCAUAGUGAUCCGGUGGUUCUGAAUGGAAGGGCCAUCGCUCAACGGAUAAAAGGUACUCCGGGGAUAACAGGCUGAUACCGCCCAAGAGUUCAUAUCGACGGCGGUGUUUGGCACCUCGAUGUCGGCUCAUCACAUCCUGGGGCUGAAGUAGGUCCCAAGGGUAUGGCUGUUCGCCAUUUAAAGUGGUACGCGAGCUGGGUUUAGAACGUCGUGAGACAGUUCGGUCCCUAUCUGCCGUGGGCGCUGGAGAACUGAGGGGGGCUGCUCCUAGUACGAGAGGACCGGAGUGGACGCAUCACUGGUGUUCGGGUUGUCAUGCCAAUGGCACUGCCCGGUAGCUAAAUGCGGAAGAGAUAAGUGCUGAAAGCAUCUAAGCACGAAACUUGCCCCGAGAUGAGUUCUCCCUGAGACUUAGAGUCUCCUGAAGGAACGUUGAAGACGACGACGUUGAUAGGCCGGGUGUGUAAGCGCAGCGAUGCGUUGAGCUAACCGGUACUAAUGAACCGUGAGGCUUAACCUUACA
rnacentral:rRNA from 1 species